AUCCCCCAUCUUUCUUCGGGUUGCUAGCAGCUCACGUUCAUCCGGGUGCACUAUCUGGAAGUUCUUGACUGAAGCCCGCGUGACGCGACCGUGAAAAUUGAGUACGUAUGCGCCGCUUUCGUCGCUCCACGAUGGGGCCUUGUUCUGCAGUAGAAGCAGCCCGUGUCCAGCGCCCUUCUGUACGCGACUCAAUAUGGAAUCCUGAUCCUUGAAGAUACAGUAGGGGGCAUCGUUUGUUAGCCCACCAGAAGCCCGAUUUUUAGUCCAUGUGCAUAUAUGUUAUUUGUUUUGUUUGUUUGAGAAUCAGUUUCUCUAGAUUGCCAGGUUUACUUUUUGUUUCUUUUUUUUUUCUUUAAAGAUUUAUUUAUUUAUUAUAUAUAAGUACACUAUAGAUGUCUUUAGACACCAGUAGAGGGUGUCAGAUCUCAUUACAGAUGGUUGUGAGCCAUCAUGUGGUUGCUGGGAUUUGAACUCAACCUUCAGAAGAGCAGUCAGUGCUCUUAACGGCUGAGCCAUCUCUUCAGCCCCUACUUUUUGUUUCUUGAGACAGAAUUUUUUCUGUGUAGCUCUGUGUCCUGGAACUUACUCUGUAGACAGAGAUCUGCCUGCCCUCUGCCCCCACUCCUACCUCCUCCCCGAGUCCUGAGAUAGAUUUAUUUAUUUAUUUAUUUUAAGACAAGGUCUCACUGUAUAACCCUGGCUGGCCUGGAACUCGUAAUUUAGAUGGGACUAGUCUCCAAUUUAAGAGGUCGGCCUUUCCUCUCCAACUAGGGAGUAAUACAUGCUUUGCUAAUCACUGAGCCAUCUCUCCAGCCCUAGCCUCAGAAGUUUUGAGUCUCAGGAAGUUUCUGGGAUGGAACUCUGGCAAAGCCAUUCAAGAUUCACACAUGACCUGAUAGCCGUUGUCCCACCUGAGAUCUAUGAUGGAGUUCUCUCUUAGCGUUGAGAAUUCAAACUUUAAAAACUCAAACUCAAAAAAACCCAAAAACAAACAAAAACAAAACCUCACAUUUUGUGGCUGGACUUUCAUCCUCUGCUUCCGGCUGUCCAUUCCUGGAAGGAUCACAGUCAUUUUCCGAGGCCCCCUGAAUCCCAAGACAUUGGUCUCCUGGCAAGAUAGUUUGCAUUGCAGUUGGUCUGACCCUGUGCUUUCCUAUCUACUGGCACCCCUAUUCUGCCCCUGCCCGAGGACUUACAUAACAGACGACUCCCAGCUCCUCUCUGAUCCGGGCACUGUCUGGAACCCAGUAACUCCGCUCAGGGUUCACCCCAUUAUCGAAGAUGGUGAAUUUCGUGCCCAAGACAUUGGAUCUGCUCCAGGAGGGUGGUGGACAGAGUGACAAUCAUGUUUGUGAUUCUUCUUCUUCUUUUUUUUUUUUUAAUAAAGAUUUUAUUUUAUGUA
rnacentral:lncRNA from 1 species